AGCAGCCGCGGUAAUUCCAGCUCCAAUAGCGUAUAUUAAAGUUGUUGCAGUUAAAAAGCUCGUAGUUGAGUUUCGGGGUCAGUAGGUUGGUCAUGCCACUGGUAUGUACUGGUCUCACUGAUUCCUCCUUCCUGAUGAACUGUAAUGCCAUUAAUUUGGUGUUGCAGGGAAUCUGGACUGUUACUUUGAAAAAAUUGAGUGUUUAAAGCAGGCUAACGCCUGAAUACAUUAGCAUGGAAUAAUGAAAUAGGACGUUCGAUCCUAUUUUGUUGGUUUCUAGGAUUGACGUAAUGAUUAAUAGGGAUAGUUGGGGGCAUUAGUAUUCAAUUGUCAGAGGUGAAAUUCUUGGAUUUAUUGAAGACUAACUACUGCGAAAGCAUUUGCCAAGGAUGUUUUCA
rnacentral:rRNA from 1 species